rnacentral:siRNA from 1 species
CCGGCUAAGCUCUCAGAUA